rnacentral:rRNA from 1 species
AGCGAACGCUGGCGGCGUGCUUAACACAUGCAAGUCGAGUGCGCAGUCUCUUGUAGCAAUACAGGGGAUGGGCGCACGGCGCACGGGUGCGUAACACGUGGGUAACCUGCCCUGGUGGGAUAGCCCGCGAAGCGGGGCGUAAUUCCGCAUAACAUUCCGGGGACACAUGUCCUCGGACUCAAAGGAGUGAUUCGCCGGAGGAGGGGCCCGCGCCCGAUUAGCUUGNGGUUAGGGUAACGGCCUACCAAGGCUUUGAUCGGUAGCCGGUCUGAGAGGAUGGCCGGCCACACUGAAACUGAGACACGGUCCAGACUCCUACGGGAGGCAGCAGUGGGGAAUCUUGCGCAAUGGGCGAAAGCCUGACGCAGCGACGCCGCGUGGGGGAGUGAAGCUUCUCGGAGUGUAAACCCCUUUCGA